UUGUAAAGCUGGUUGGUCUUCGACCGCGUCUGCAGUUGCGAAGGCGGAAAAUGGAUCAUCUUCUCAAGCCCAAGCGAACGCCAUUAAUGGAGGCGACGCCCAUGCAAUGUCACUCUCGAAAGACGGAGGCAACGCUACUUCCGGAGCGAAUGUGAAAGACGGCGGAAAGGCCAACGCCCUCUCAUCGGCCGCCAAUGGGGCACAAACCGAUGCUGAAGC